CCCUUAGAUGCCCUGGGCUGCACGCGCGCUACACUGAUGUGUCCAGUAAGCACCUAACCUCUUCCGAAAGGAACGGGUAACCUUUGCAAAGCACAUCGUGAUGGGGAUAGAUUAUUGCAAUUAUUAGUCUUGAACGAGGAAUUCCUAGUAAGCACAAGUCAUCAGCUUGUGUUGAUUACGUCCCUGCCCUUUGUGCACACCGCCCGUCGCUCCUACCGAUUGAAUGUUCCGGUGAGCUCUUCGGACUGCGCGGUCUGCAGUUUCUGCGUUCCGUGCGGAAAGUUGCGCAAACCUUAACAUUUAGAGGAAGGAGAAGUCGUAACA
rnacentral:rRNA from 1 species